ensembl:lncRNA
CACUGGCUCCUAUCUCUCAAGGUCUCUCACUCUAGGAACUUGGAAUACAUUCCCUUGAUGUUGGAUUGGAGAAGAUUAAAGUAGCAGAACCAAUAAUGAAGCCACAAAAGCUUCCUUGCUCUCCCUAGGCAAGCCAUACUCCAGAAGAAAGCCUCGCCUCUUGAAUCAUGAUUUCUUCUUCCUCCAGAUACAUGUUCUGGGUCUAAGUAGAGAUUCCACCAAAGGAGUCAUCAGCCUUGCUGGUCCUGUCUGCAACUUGCCUUGAUUGUCCUCUGAGAGGAAGCCUCCCAUGUGCGGAGCCAUAUGCUCUACUGCUUCUCAUGUGGUGAAGACUCCUCUGGGAGCAGUUUUGCUCCCGUCUCUCAACAUUUCCUUCAUGGCUCCAAGAUUAAAAGACCAUAUUCCAUUG